CGCGUUUCAAAACGUUGCGGAAGCGGAGCGUCGUGUGUGCAGCCUCGCAGUUGUUGUUGAUUUUGGAAUAUUUCCUGGACAUUUGUACUUCUACAAUGCCUGUAAACCGGAGGAGAACGCUGGCAUGUAUUCUCCUACUUGAAAGACUACGGGGGGAUGGGGGGAGGAGAAGGAGCCGGUUAUGGGUGCACCCCCUCAACCAGCAAAGGAGACAACAAGGUGAUUUUCAUCACCUCGUGGCUGAGCUGAGGCUGGACAGCCAACGACAUCACCAAUAUUUUCGGAUGAGUGCAGAGCAGAUGGAUGAACUUCUGUCCCUCCUGGGCCCUGAACUGACCAGACAAUCCACACAUUUCAGAGCUGCCAUAGAACCCAAGCAGAGACUGGCUGUUGCACUGAGUAAUACAAUUUAUAAUAAAUAGUUUUGUCUGACAAA